GACGGAGGGUGCAAGCGUUGUUCGGAUUGACUGGGCGUAAAGGGCGUGUAGGCGGUCGGCCAAGUCUGAUGUGAAAGCCCGAGGCUCAGCCUCGGAAGUGCGUCGGAAACUAGUCGGCUGGAGCGCGAUAGAGGGGGGUGGAAUUCCUGGUGUAGCGGUGAAAUGCGUAGAUAUCAGGAGGAACACCGGCGGCGAAGGCGGCCCUCUGGAUCGUUGCUGACGCUGAUACGCGAAAGCGUGGGGAGCAAACAGG
rnacentral:rRNA from 1 species